GUGGUUGUAGCUCAGUUGGUUAGAGCAUCGGAUUGUGGUUCCGAGGGUCGUCGGUUCGAACCCGAUCAUCCACC
rnacentral:tRNA from 1 species